rnacentral:lncRNA from 1 species
AAUCUGACGGAGGGGCAUUCGUUAUACUUUCUCAAAAUAUUGAGGGUACAAACGUCGACAAAAAUAGACUUGGGUUGUCUUUUGCAUAUUGGCGAUACAUCAGGGGCAACAAAUGCAUUUAAGCCUAAAUACAUCUAAUCUACAUGUUCAUUUACAUAUAAUUAGGCACAUAUCAUCGUCACAGAAAAUGAGCAAUGAAGUGGCUGCUGCAAGCUACUGUACNNNN